rnacentral:rRNA from 1 species
GACGAACGCUGGCGGCGUGCCUAAUACAUGCAAGUCGAGCGGACAGAUGGGAGCUUGCUCCCUGAAGUCAGCGGCGGACGGGUGAGUAACACGUGGGCAACCUGCCUGUAAGACUGGGAUAACUUCGGGAAACCGGAGCUAAUACCGGAUACGUUCUUUUCUCGCAUGAGAGAAGAUGGAAAGAUGGUUUCGGCUAUCACUUACGGAUGGGCCCGCGGCGCAUUAGCUAGUUGGUGAGGUAAUGGCUCACCAAGGCGACGAUGCGUAGCCGACCUGAGAGGGUGAUCGGCCACACUGGGACUGAGACACGGCCCAGACUCCUACGGGAGGCAGCAGUAGGGAAUCUUCCGCAAUGGACGAAAGUCUGACGGAGCAACGCCGCGUGAACGAUGAAGGCCUUCGGGUCGUAAAGUUCUGUUGUUAGGGAAGAACAAGUACCAGAGUAACUGCUGGUACCUUGACGGUACCUAACCAGAAAGCCACGGCUAACUACGUGCCAGCCGCCGCGGUAA